CAGGACCAGUCAAGUUCUCAUCGGAGUGCAGAACUCACUUUCAUAGACUUUAUCACAACACGAGGGAUUGUUCGAGACCAGCAUAUUACAAAAGAUGUGCAAGAUUGCUAACACGGUUAGCAAUGAGUCCUCUCUGCAUGCAAUCAUAGAAAAUGCAUGACCCAAAACAUUGGAAGAGGGAUCAAUGCGUUGCCAAGGAAGUGCCUUCAAAUCCACAGCAGUCAUAUGAACAUUGUUGCGUUUAUAGUCUUUCUAUUUUUGUUGUCAUUCCUCGAAAUGCCAAUAGACGUUGUUGGUUUUUUUUAUGAAUGGGUUUUCUUUUUGUU